rnacentral:piRNA from 1 species
CACCCUAUGUGUUAUUCCUACAGAAGUA